rnacentral:lncRNA from 1 species
UGGCUCAGGGACGCAUGCGUAAUGUCUCCGCGGUAAUUAAAGCAAUUUCCUCGGCCGGCGUGAGGGGACCCCAGUCCCUCGGGGUUAGCGUUCCUGUCACGUGGCCUUUGUCUCCUCCGCGCCCGAGCGGGGUCGCAGGCUCUCGAGCUCCUCCCGCUUCCCAUUGCCGGCUUCCCUCCGCUGCGCGACUCUCAGGGCCAAAAUGAGUCUGUUUGGAACAACCUCGGGUUUUGGAUCUGGUGGGACCAGCAUGUUUGGCAGCACAACCACAGAUAAUCACAACCCUAUGAAGGUACCACAUACAGCUUCACAGGGUUUUUAGAAACAGCACAGGCCAGAGAAUCCCACAUCCGUGAUAGCAAGAGAAUCCCAGUUGGUGUGGGAGCCUCCUUUGAGGUGAACAUGCUGAAAUUUUGUUCAGCCUGCUUUCUCAAAUACUGGAGCAGAGGAACUGUGUGUCCCCUGGACUGGUGUCCUAUUUCCCCUAACAUUCCUAGUCACCAAAAUCACACGAGGUGCUUGUUAAGAU